GCCAGGCGUGGUGGUGCAUGCCUGUAAUCCCAGCUACUUGGGAGGCUGAGGCAGGAGAAUCACUUGAACCCAGGAGGUGGAGGUUGUAGUGAGCCGAGAUCACGCCACUGCACACCAGCCUGGGCGACAGAGUGAGACUCUGUCUCAA
ensembl:misc_RNA Metazoa_SRP Metazoan signal recognition particle RNA